AUGGAGGCCAAGGCGCUCCCCCUCUCGCACUUCCGCGCGCGGGCGGGCUCGCCGCUCCUCCUCUCCGCGGAGGCCAGCUCCGCCGCGCGCAAGGGCUCCGGCGCGCCAGGGAGGAGCAGGACCUCGAGGUACGACGCGGGAGCGCCUCCGAGCAGGGCAGGGAGGGGCGGGGUCUGGAAGCGUGAUGAUCCGGAGGAUUCACCUCGCCGAACAGGGAUGACUGGAGUUCCAAAGCUUAAUCCCAAAUUCUCAACUAAAAGAGCAGGGACAAGUAAGGUUCCAAUUAUUAAUUUCGAGGUUUCUCAUCACAGAGCAGUUGCAGCGGUGAGGUUGUUAAGAGCUGAUAAGGGGAAGGCGUUUGUUGAUCUUUUAAAUGAGAAAGCAAACGAUUCUGGGGAAAAUGAGAUGGGCUAUGUAGAAAGGACAUUAGGGUUCAGUACACGGCAUUUGGAUGACAGGGAUAUACGAUUGGUUACUGUCAUAGUAGCUGGAACUGUACGUUGGAAACGCUACAUUGAUUAUCUUAUCAUGUCACUCUGUAGUGAAGAGAAGGUGUUCAGCAACAUGGAACCGCUGCUGCUGCAGAUAUUGCGAAUUGGCUUCUUUGAAAUUCUCAAACUUAAUGUACCAGCUUAUGCUGUCGUUGAUGAGAAUGUAAGGCUUGCAAAAGUAGCUUUAAGGCCCGGUGCUGGGAACAUGGUGAAUGCGAUUCUGCGUAAACUUCUGUUACUGAAGGAGACAGAUUCUCUUCCUCUUCCAAAUAUAGAAGGUGAUGAUCGUGCCCAAGCUCGUGCUCUUUCCAUAAUUUAUUCUCAUCCUGUUUGGAUGGUGAGAAGGUGGAUUCGAUUUCUUGGAAAAGAAGAAGCUCUCAAAUUGAUGAACUGGAAUAACAGUGACCCUUAUUUCAGUCUAAGGGUGAAUACAACAAAUGGCUAUACAAGGGAUGAUCUUGUUAACCGAUUGGAAGAUUUGCAGGUUCACUACGAAAAGUCAAUUAUGGACGAAUUUGUCCGCAUUCGUGAAGGCAUGCAGGCAGUCUUACAAGCUGGAUUACUGAAAGAAGGCAUGUGUGCCGUGCAGGAUGAGAGUGCAGGUUUUGUUGUGUCUGUGGUCGACCCACAACCUGGGGAAACAAUCAUGGAUUGUUGUGCUGCGCCUGGCGGGAAGACUUUGUUCAUGGCAUCCCGGCUGGCAGGACAAGGGAAGGUAUCGGCUCUUGACAUAAACAAAGGCCGCUUGAGAAUUCUCAUGGAGGCAGCAAAGUGCCACAAUCUUGAUGAUAUAAUCACUGAUAUCCAUGGUGAUCUUCGACUGUAUGCUAAGGAAAGCACUGUCAAAUAUGACAAAGUAUUAUUGGAUGCUCCAUGCUCUGGGCUGGGUGUCCUUUCCAAGAGGGCAGACUUGCGUUGGAAUCGGCAAUUUGAAGAUCUGGAGGAGUUGGUGUGUUUGCAAGAUGAGCUCCUUGAUUCAGCGUCAUUGUUGGUAAAACCUGGUGGUGUACUAAUCUACAGUACAUGUUCCAUUGAUCAUGAAGAAAAUGAGAACCGGGUUACUACUUUUGUUCAGAGGCAUCCGGAGUUUACCCCACAGGGUGUACAUGGAUAUGUUCCUGCAGAAUUCAUCACAGAUGAUGGUUUCUAUUCCUCAAGUCCAACUAAGCACUCUCUGGAUGGGGCAUUUGCUGCUCGUCUUGUCCGGUCAAUGCACUAG
rnacentral:rRNA from 1 species